CGGUACCAACGAGACGAGCGGGCAGAGCGGCGCCAGCCAAGAUGGAGGAGGGGGCGGAGGGGCUGAGGAGCCAUCCCCCCGUGGCUGCCAUGCUGGCUCUGCCUUUCCUCCCUUUCUCCCUUUUCCUGGGGAGUUUGGGCUCCCUCUGCGUGGCCUUUGUCACCCUCUGGUGCCACCACUGGCGAGGGGGCUUCUCCUGGGAUGGCACCACCACAACCUUCAACUGGCACCCAGUCCUGAUGGUGACAGGCAUGGUGGUCACCUACGGUGCAGCUGCUCUGGUUUAUCGAUCCCCCCCAGCCUGGAGAGGUCCCAAAUUCCCUUGGAAGGUCCUCCAUGGCUCCCUGGCUCUGGUAGCCCUUGGGCUAACAGUCCUGGGGCUCCUGGCUGUCUUCUCCUUCCACAACACCCAAGGGACCCCCAACCUCUACUCCUUGCACAGCUGGCUGGGCUUGCUCACCGUCCUCCUCUUCUCCUGCCAGUGGGUGUUUGGUUUCAGCUCCUUCCUCCUGCCCUGGGCUCCCACUUGGCUCAGAGGGUUCUACAAACCCAUCCAUGUCUUCUUUGGCUCCCUCAUCCUCCUCCUGGCCGUGGCCUCCUGCCUCUCAGGGAUCAACGAGAAGCUCUUCUUCAGUUUGAAAAACGGGACAAUGCAGUACAAGUUCCUGCCCCCUGAGGCUCUUUUUGCCAACACCCUGGGGCUCCUCAUCCUCCUUUUUGGGGUGCUGGUGGUGGGGGCCCUGGCCAGGCCCAGCUGGAAGCGCCCCGAAGGCGACUGCCCCGAGACUCAGCAGCCCCUCCUCACCUCAGAGCACUGACACCCAGGGCUGCCAGCACCCAGAACUCUGCUGCCAGCACCCAGAACUCUGCUGCCAGCACCCAGAACUCUGCUGCCAGAACCCAGAGGGCUCCCUGCCUGCACCCAAGGCUCCUCCAGCACCCAGAACUCUGCUGCCUGCACCCAGAGGGCUCCCUGCCUGC